rnacentral:rRNA from 3 species
UCCGUAGGUGAACCUGCGGAAGGAUCAUUACCGAGUGCGGGCCCUCGUGGCCCAACCUCCCACCCUUGUCUCUAUACACCUGUUGCUUUGGCGGGCCCACCGGGGCCACCUGGUCGCCGGGGGACAUCUGUCCCCGGGCCCGCGCCCGCCGAAGCGCUCUGUGAACCCUGAUGAAGAUGGGCUGUCUGAGUACUAUGAAAAUUGUCAAAACUUUCAACAAUGGAUCUCUUGGUUCCGGCAUCGAUGAAGAACGCAGCGAAAUGCGAUAAGUAAUGUGAAUUGCAGAAUUCCGUGAAUCAUCGAAUCUUUGAACGCACAUUGCGCCCCCUGGCAUUCCGGGGGGCAUGCCUGUCCGAGCGUCAUUUCUGCCCUCAAGCACGGCUUGUGUGUUGGGUGCGGUCCCCCCGGGGACCUGCCCGAAAGGCAGCGGCGACGUCCGUCUGGUCCUCGAGCGUAUGGGGCUUUGUCACUCGCUCGGGAAGGACUGGCGGGGGUUGGUCACCACCAAAAUUUUACCACGGUUGACCUCGGAUCAGGUAGGAGUUACCCGCUGAACUUAAGCAUAUCAAUAAGCGGAGGAA